rnacentral:rRNA from 1 species
AACGAACGCUGGCGGCAGGCCUAACACAUGCAAGUCGAACGCUCUAGCAAUAGAGAGUGGCAGACGGGUGAGUAACGCGUGGGAACCUUCCCAGUGGUGCGGAAUAGCUCAGGGAAACUUGGGGUAAUACCGCAUGAGCCCGAAAGGGGAAAGAUUUAUCGCCAUUUGGAUGGGCCCGCGUAGGAUUAGCUAGUUGGUGAGGUAAUGGCUCACCAAGGCAACGAUCCUUAGCUGGUUUGAGAGAAUGACCAGCCACACUGGGACUGAGACACGGCCCAGACUCCUACGGGAGGCAGCAGUGGGGAAUAUUGGACAAUGGGCGCAAGCCUGAUCCAGCCAUGCCGCGUGAGUGACGAAGGCCUUAGGGUUGUAAAGCUCUUUUUGGCGGGGACGGAUAAUGACGGUACCCGCAGAUAAAGCCCCGGCCUAACUUCGUGCCAGCAGCCG